GAAGGAAUAUUGGUCAAUGGACGAGAGUCUGAACCAGCCAAGUAGCGUGAAGGAUGACUGCCCUAUGGGUUGUAACUUCUUUUAUAUGGGAAUAAAGUUUUCCACGUGUGGAAUUUUGUAUGUACCAUAUGAAUAAGGAUCGGCUAACUCC
rnacentral:rRNA from 1 species